rnacentral:rRNA from 1 species
CCUUCGGGAGGCAGCAGUGAGGAAUAUUGGUCAAUGGACGAGAGUCUGAACCAGCCAAGUAGCGUGAAGGAUGACUGCCCUAUGGGUUGUAAACUUCUUUUAUAUGGGAAUAAAAUGUUCCACGUGUGGGAUUUUGUAUGUACCAUAUGAAUAAGGAUCGGCUAACUCCGUGCCAGCAGCCGCGGUAAUACGGAGGAUCCGAGCGUUAUCCGGAUUUAUUGGGUUUAAAGGGAGCGUAGGUGGAUUGUUAAGUCAGUUGUGAAAGUUUGCGGCUCAACCGUAAAAUUGCAGUUGAAACUGGCAGUCUUUAGGAAAGUAGAGGUGGGCGGAAUGCGUGGUGUAGCGUUGAAAUGUUAAGAUAGCACGAAGAACUCCGAUUGCGAAGGCAGUUCACUGGACUGCAACUGACACUGAGGCUCGAAAGUGUGGGUAUCAAACAGGAUUAGAUACCCCUGUAGUC